rnacentral:rRNA from 1 species
AUUGAACGCUGGCGGCAGGCCUAACACAUGCAAGUCGAGCGGAGCGGCAGAGGGGGGAGUAAUGACUAGGAAUCGGCCAGGUAGUGGGGGAAAACGACCGGAAACGGGCGCUAAUACCGCAGACUAUCAGAAGAGCAUAGGUCGGAUUAGCGAGGUGGUGGGGUAAAGGCCUACCCAGGCGACGAUCCGUAACUGGUCUGAGAGGAUGAUCAGUCACACUGGAACUGAGACACGGUCCAGACUCCUACGGGAGGCAGCAGUGGGGAAUAUUGGACAAUGGGCGAAAUCCUGAUCCAGCCAUGCCGCGUGUGUGAAGAAGGUCUUCGGAUUGUAAAGCACUUUAAGUUGGGAGGCGUUACCAACAGAAUAAGCACCGGCUAACUUCGUGCCAGCAGCCGCGGUAAUUC